AAUAUCCCCCCGAAAGGGGAUAAUGGACCUGAUUAGGGUUAUGUACCUAGUUAAUGUCUGAAGCUGGAUUCAAACUCGCUUCUCCUCUACUCCAAAUGCAACUCCUCCUUCUCUGGACUAUCUAGCCAUCUAUGCAAAUCAAUGAGCUUUUUUUUUUCCCAAAAAAUUAUUUAUUUUUAUUAUUCAAAAGAUAUACAUGGAUCAUUUUUCAACAAAAUUGAAAAAUCUUGUGUUCCAAUUUCCGCCCCCUUACUCCUUCCCCCUCCCUUAGAUAGUAAGUAAUCCAAUAUAUUUUAAACAUGGUAAAAAUAUGUUAAAUCCAAUAUAUGUGUACAUAUUUAUACAAUUCUCGUGCUGCACAAGAAAAAUCAACUCAAAAAGGAAAAAAAUGAGAAAGAAAAUAAAAUGCAAACAAACAACAACAAAAAGAGUGAGAAUGCCAUGUUGUGAUCCACACUCGGUUCCCAUAAUCCUCUCUCUGGGUAUAAAUGGCUCUCUUCAUCAUAAGAUCAUUGAAACUGACCUCAAUCAUCUCAAUGAGUCUUUAUUGAGCACUAACCGUGUACAAGGCAUAGUUGAUACAAAAACAAAAGAAAAACUAGUCAAGUGCUCGACUUCUACACGUCAAUAGAUAUAGAUUGUGGUGUUGUGUAACUCUUCAAUCAACCAACCUGAUUGGUUGGUUGGUACCUGACAUGCAAAUGCGGGUUGGAUUGGACUGAAGUAACCAAGGGUACCUUUGUCUUUGUGGACAUUUUGUGCUUGGAAAAUCCCUGAGUUCAAAUCCGGCCUCAGAUAUUUAUUGGCAGUGUGGCCCUGAACCAGUCACAAUCUCAGUUUCCUCAUCUGAAAAAUGAGAAUAAGAGUACCCGCCUCCCAGGGUAGUGUCAGAAUAGAAUUAGAUAGUAUUUGUAAAGCGCUUCAAGUGCCAUAUAAAUACUGCUUCGUGUCAUUUUGCCAUUUUCCUAAUUUUCUUUCAUGGUUGGGAUAUCCCCGAGCUUGCUUAGAACCACCCAUGGCUCCCAGGAUUCACAGAUCUGCCAUUUUGGACCCUGAUCAUCUUCCCUCUUCCCUUUCCACUGCCACCGUCUCAUUGGACCCAGUUCCAGUGUCUGCUCCCCCUUUUCUCUUAUCCCCCCACACUUUGGAUCACACAAGUUGGGCAGACUAGAUGCCCAAGAGGUCCUUUCUAGUGCUAGGUCUUUGGAAUCUUAAUUCUGACAUGACUUGUGUGGCUUUGGUCAAGUCACUCACUUCCCUGGGCCUCAGUUUCCCCAGCUAUAAAAGAUAAAAAAGGAAUUGGCUUACCUGGCUUCUGCGGUUUCUUCCUCUGUGCACCUUUGUACUGAGCUCCUAAAGACCAGGCUCAGGAGACAUGAGCUCCAGUUGAUCUCAAGCAGCUGGAAAAGCUUCUACCUCCCACCGGCCUGACCAAUACAGGCCCCUGCCCCCUGAGAGCCAGCCUGGCUGACUUCUGAGAGGUCGGGCUCCCGAGGUCCUGCCAGCAGGGGAUGAAUGUUGGAGACACAGCAACUUGUGGAACCAUCCCUAAACGUGGAUGGAAACUGGGCAUCCUUUGUUCCAGCAAUGUCUCCACUGGGACUGUACCCCAAAGGGAUCAUGAAGGAGGGAAACAUGUGCAAAAUGUUCGUGGCAGCCCUUUCUGUAGUGGCAAGAAACUGGAAACUGAGCGGAUGCCCAUCAGUGGGGGAAUGGCCUAUGAAUGUUAUAGAAUAUUAUUGUUCUGUAAGAAAUGACCAGCAGGAUGAUUUCAGAAAGGCCUGGAGAGACUUAAACGAACUGACACUGAGUGAAAUGAGCAGGACCAGGAGAUCAUUGUACAUGGCAACAGUAAGAUUAUACAGUGACCGGUUCUGAAGGACGUGGCUCUUUUCAACAAUGAGUUCCAACGGACUGGUGAUGGAGAGAGCCUUUUAUAUCCAGAUAGACUGGGGGGACUGAGUGUGGAGCACAACACAGCAUUUUUACCUCUUUUGUUCACUUGUUGUUUGCUUGCAUUUCAUUUUCGUUCUCAUUUUUUUUUUCCUUUUUGAUCUGAUUUUUCUUGUUCAACAUGAUAAUUUUGGAACUAUAUAUAGAACUGCACAUGUUUGCCGUAUAUUGGAUUACUUGCUGUCUAGGGGGAAGAGAGGGGGAAAAUUUGCAAGGGUGAAUGUUGAAAAUUUUCCAUGCAUGUAUUUUGAAAAUAAAAAGCUUUAUUUAAAAAAAAAUGGGGGGGAUGGGUGGGCUGGCUCCCGUAUCCAUGGGCACAAUCCCUGGGGAAAGCACAGAGCUCUGAAAUAUUUACAGGGGAAAGGAUAUAGAAAUCCAGAAAGAGCCCACUGGAUGAAAUCACUCAGAGAGCAGAGCAAAGGAAACCAGCCCAGGAAGGCCCAGAGGCCAUCUGAAUCCAAUCCCCUCAUUUUAGAGAUGGAGAAACUGAGGCACAGGGAAGGGAAACAUGACAGGUAGGACUCUAGAACCACAGUUCUAGAGCUGGAGGAACCUCAGAGAUUCUCCUCAUUUUACUGAGCAGAAAACGGAUGCACAGAGAAAUUAAGGGACUUGGAAUGAGAAAUGUAGAACAAUCAGAAGGCUAGAGUUGAAAGGGGCCGCAGAGGCCAGGCAGUCCAAUCCACCCCCUUCACAGAUGGAAAAACUGAGGCCUCGAGGCCUCCAGGAUUUGAAUCCAGGUUCUAUGAUUCCUGAGCCAGGGAACUUUCUGUGGUACCAUGUGAAGAUCUAGGCUGAGGCAUUCUAAAUUGUUGGGCUGGGUUUUUUUUUAGCAGUUCCAGGGCCCAACUUAGACCAUCCCAGCCUCUCACCCCAGAAAACAUCAGGAAUGAUAAUGCGGUUUGUUUUGGUUUUUAGAGACUUGUUCUAACAACGACUGAGGCAUGUGGGUGUUUAGCCGAAGAGGAAUUUAACCACUUUCCUGCUCCCCCAUUCCUGGCCCCCACCUUCAGCGGGACUACCCCUUCAGUUCAGAUGGGGAAAGGUCCUCAGUCAGAACAAGGAGCUCCUGGCCUUUAACCUGUAGCCUCAGAGAGCUCCCCAGGUGAGGUCACACAGUCGGGAUGCGUCAGACAAAACUUGCACUCAGAUCUUCUGACUCUAAAGCUGGGCCUCUAGCUACUGCGCUGCUCAGUUAAUCUAGUGAAAGGCUGGUGGUACAAGCAAACGGUCAACAAGCAUUAAUUAAGGACCUACUGUAUACCAGGCACUGUGCUCAACUCUAUAGAUCAAAAAGAGGGUGAAAAUACAAUUCCUGUCCUCAAGCAGUUUAUAUUCUUUUUGUUUUAGUUUAGGUUUUUUUUUUUUUUUUCUGAGACAAUUGGAGUUAAGUGACUUGUCUAGGGUCACACAAUUAGGAUGUGUUAAGUGUCUGAGGCUAGAUUUGAAUUUAGUUAUUUUAAAUACACAUUGUUUUAUGAAUUAUAUUGGGAGAGAAAAAUCAGAGCAAAAGGGAAAAACCAUGGGAGAGAGAAAAAAGGAAAAAAAAAAGAAGUGAACACAGCAUGUGUUGACUUACAGUCAGUCUCUUAGUUCUUUUUCUGGAUGCAGAAGGCAUUUUCUGUCCAAUGUCUACUGGGAUUGCUUUGGAUCACUGAUCCACUGAGAAGAACAAGGCUUUCAUAGUUGAUUAUCACACUAACUGUUCUAAUAUUCUAGGUUCUGCUCGUUUCACUCAGCAUCAGUUCCUGUAAAUCUUUCUAGGCCUUUCUAAAAUCAGCUUGUUCAUCAUUUUUAUAGAAUAAUAUUCCAUUGCCUUCAUAUACCACAGCUUGUUCAGCCAUUCCCCAGUUAACGAGGAUCCAUUCUCUUUCCAAUUCUUUGCCACCACAAAAAAAAAAAAAAGUGGCUACAAACAUUUUUGCACAUGGGGGUCCUUUUUCCUCUUUUAUGAUUUCCUUGGGAUACAGACCCAGUAACGGCACUCCUGGGUCAAAGGGCAUGUACGGUUUUAUAGCCCUUUGGGCAGAGUUCCAGGUUGCUCUCCAUAAUGAUUGGAUCAGUUCAUAAGGAGUCAACGUUCUAACAGGGAAUCAACACGUUAGUAUGUAUAAAAUGAGCAUUAGGCAAUUGGAGGAGGGGGAAGGGAGUGACAGUUGGGGAAAUCAGGGAAGGCUUCAUGUAGGAGAUAGUGUUUGAGCCGAUCUUUGAAGGAAAACUGGAGGGUUAAAGGAGCAGAGGGAACCCAUUAAAGGCCUCCCCAAUAACUAAAGGCUGAUGUGCAGACUGAGCAAAGGAGACUAGUUGGGCUGGAUCAUAAAGCAUGUGAAGGGACGGUUUGGGUAAUAUUUAAUAAAGCUGGAGAAGUAGGUAGGUUGUGACCAGGUCCUAAAAGGCUUUGAAUGUCAAACCAUGAGGCUUUAGACCAAUGGUAUCAAAUUUAAACAGAAAUGGAAGCCACUAAGAUGUGCAAGGAUCCCCGUGGGACACGGAUUGACUUAACAAACCACACAUGUUUAUGUAUUUUUUUUUUAUUUAAACAUCAAUACAUUAUAAUCUGAGAGGAGCUGCAUUUUAAUCUGGUUCAGGUCAAGGAGGGAGGGCUAGAGACCACAUGUAGUAAAGAGCAGAGUGGAAUUUGAACCUGGCUCCCCUGGGUGUGUUUCAAGUAUCCUGGUCUCCAGAUCCUCUGGACAUGCCAGAUCAAACACUGCCCUGUGCUCACUCUCACCCAAUCAGGAAACACUUUAUUGUAUUUCCCUCAUGUUAUGCCUUGAUCACCGAUGAUCAGGUUUGUCCUGAAUAGCCGCCUUCUCCCAACCUUCCCAUAGCCUUAAAAAGCACAAGCAUUCCUUCUAACACACCGGAUCGCUAGCCAGGGAAUAAGCAUUUAUUAAGCGCCUACUGUGUACCAGCCACUGUGCUUUAUGCUAGUGAUAAAGAAAUGUAAUUCCCUUCCCUUAACCUCCUUUGCCUUCCUUUCGCUAGUAUCACAUACCCAAAGAGAAGUGCAGAAACAAAAGGAAAAAGCUUCCUAUCUGUAAGGAGUGCCCAUUUUACUGAAAUGUAUGACCUGUGAAGAAUGAAUGGCAUAUAUGGGUAUAAUUCCCAUUGAUAGGUAAAGCAAGAGCAUUUCUUCUUCUUUAUUUUUUUAUUGUUUUGCUUUUUUUGCUGAGGCAAUUGGGGUUAAGUGACUUGCCCAGGAUCACACAGUUAGGAAGGGUUAAGUGUCUGAGGUUGCAUUUGAACUCAGGCCCCCCCGUUCUCCAGGACUGGUGGUCUAUCUAGUUGCCAUCCAGAUGCCUCCAAAGCAUUUCUUUUCACCCCACAUGUGCCCAGGAUCGUGCUGGACCCUGAAGUGGUGCCAUGCAGGCAGAGGGAAAAGUUAAAAAAAUUAUAUCUAAUAUUUAAAUAGGUAUUUAAGGUUUGCAAAGCACUUCACAUCUAUUAAUUUUCUCAUAUCCUUAGUAGAGCUUGGCGAUAAUGAUGAGGUACAUUAUCUCCAUUUUGCAGAUGUGAAAACUGAGGCUGAGAAAGGUCAAGUACGAUCACAAUGCAGUGAACGUCAAGCCGGCCUGGGAAUUCAGGUGUGGACUCAAUUCGAAUCUUUCCUCAGAUUUCUGGCUGUGUCACCCCAGAACACAUCUCUCCAACUCAGUUUCUUCCUCUGCAAAAUGGGAUCAGGCUCUCCUCCAAGCACUAACCCCAAAAGGCUAUUGUGAGGUUCAAGUGGAAUCACCUGUGUAAGAUGCCCCGCCAAACUUACAGCAUUCUAUGUGCCAGGUAUUUAAACAGCAUUCGAUAUUGUUAAGACACAUAUUAUGCUAUUACAUUGUAUAUUACAUUUUCUGUUGCUACAUAUUAUAUUAUCUUAUAUAGUAUAUUAAAUAGCAAUGCUAUCAUUUAUAUAUCAUGUCACAUUAUGUCAUAUUGGGUAUAUCCCGCCGUAUCAUAACUAUGUUAAAUAAUAUCUUUCUAAAGCAAUUGUAGCAUAUGUUCGAUAUAAUGUUAUAUUCUAUUAUGUCAUGUUAUUUAUGCAUUAUAUAGCACAGCAUAGUCUCUUGUAUUAUAUAUGGCUAUAUUGUAUUAUAAUAGUUUAAUAUAAUUAAUUAUCUGUCAUGUCAUAUUGGUACAUCCCGCCAUAUCAUAACUAUGUUAAAUAAUAUCUUCCUAAAACAAUUGUAGCAUAUGUUCGAUAUAAUGUUAUAUUCUAUUAUGUCAUGUUUUAUAUUUAUAAUAUAUUAUAGCACAGCAUAGUAUCUUGUAUUAUAUGCGGCCAUUUUAUAUUCUAAUAGUAAAAAAUAGUUUACUUAUUAUGCCACGUAAUAUCGUACUCCACUGGCGUCAAGGGGCUCUGUUCUGACAUGCACUAGCCACGGAAAUCUGGCCAAAUCACCCGACUUGGCAGAGCUCUACACAAAAUUUUAAGACCAGUUGCGGAGCUGCUGCCCAUCGGGGUGGUAGAUAGAUUAGAUUCCUAGAUCCAUUCCCACCAGGGUCCGUAGACAGAGCUCCAAACCCAAAGCCAGAAAGAUCGGCCUUCAAAUCCAGCCUCUAAUACUGGCUGAUUAUGUGACCCCGGGCAAGUACUUGACUGCCUCAGUUUCCUCAUCUGUAAAAUGGGGGUGAUUAUAACACCCACCUGCCAGGGUGCUUGUGAAGAUCAAAUGAGGUCAUAGUUGGAAAGGGCUUAACACAAUUCCUGGCACACAGUAAGUGCAAUGCAAAUAUUAGCUGUUUUUAUUAUUGUUGUUAAACAAGUUGUGAAACAUGCAGAUAAUGGAAUGGAAUAUUGCGGUGCUGAAAAAAGAAUGUGGUGAAUGAAGAGAGGGUUGGAAGAUUUGCAUGAUGGGAAGUGAAGAUGUGAAGAAAAGCCAGGAAAAGCCCAGAGUCAAGAACGGAAACAGAAAGACACAUCCACAAUUAUCCUGCAAUUAUCAGAGACCUGGGCCUAUAGAACAAACAGAACAAAGCACUCACAGCCUUCCCUUCCUUGUCAAAGUGGGGGAUCGUGGGUCCCGAACACUGCACACACCAUCACACUGGGUUGAUAGGUUGGUUAGUUUUGCUGAUAUGAUUGUCUCUCUCUCUCUCUCUCCCCCUCCUCCUUCCCUCCCUUUCUCUUCUUCUUCUCCUCCUCCUCUCUCUGUCUCUGUCUUGUCUCUGUCUCUCUCUGUCUCUCUCUGUCUCUGUCUUUCUCUCUCUCUCGAUAAGGUAUUCUAAAAUUUGAGACAUUUAAUCUACUGUCCCAUCCUAGGCAGGUUAUCCCUUCCUUGGCUUCCUGGUCAUGCAGAGAUCUCCUGAGGAGACACACUCCCGAAGCCCUGAUUCAGCAGCCCCUGUGUGCCAGGCACCGUGCUAGGCUAGGAAUACAAAGGCACAAAGCCCUCUCUGCCCUCGAGAAGCUUCUGUUCUAUCACGGACAAGGCCAGAUAAAGGCCCAUUUUAUGGACCUGAUACAGCAGGUGCUCAGAAAAGGGACUGGGUGAAGUUGGGGAAACAGUCACCAAGUUGAGAAGGCAGGGACUUGCUCUGCACCCAGACAUGGUGGCCAUAUUCAGGGAAGGGAAGAGAAAGGCCUUCCAGGUUGGAUUAAUGGAUGUUCUUGUUGUCUUUACAUCCCCAGCUCUAGUGUCCUGCACAUAGUAGAAGCUUCAUCAAUACCGUUCAAUGUUUUUAAACAUUUAUUAUAUUACUAAAUGCUUAUUGAUCAUUUAUUAAGAAUCUAAUGUAUUCUGGGCAUUGCUAAGUUCUGAGUGAGAUAAAAAAUGUGAAGAAAAUAUAAUUCCGACUUUCAUGGAGCUGUCCAUCUGAUAGGGAGAAAAGACACACACAGAGAUGUUUGCGACAGUAAGAUCAUGUAAUAAGGACAGUAGAAAGCUAUAGAGGUCUGUGUGCGGUCCAACAAAAAGGUUGACUACUGACUGAAGAAAUCAGGGAAGACUUCCUGAAAGAGAUAGCAUCAGAGUUGAGCUUCGAAGUAAUGGUAGGGAUUCAGCAGGGAAAAAAGGAAAGGAAGGCACAUAGGUAUAGCAUGGGAGCUGGAGAAAACAAGCAUUUGUGGACAGAGUCAUCCAGUUUGGCUAAACCAUAGAAUGCAUGAGACAAAAUAAAGCUGGAAAGUUAGAGCAGAAUAAAUUAAAUUGGAUGUUUUGCUCUCUGAGUAAUUGGGAACCAAAAGGUUCCCCAAGUUGCCCUGCUCUAGGUCUUCACGGCAGCCCACCAUCUGAUCACUUGUGCUAAGGGUGACAUAAAGAAAGCUAGUGGUUGGUUUGCCGAGGAUGGUGGAGAGGGGAGACAUGGGCUGGAAUCUGGCUCCAGGGGAUUAGUGGGCAAAUUCAUUUAUUCAUUCGCCACCCGUUACUGACAUGUGCAGGGUUGGAGAAGAUAAGAGCAAUAACACAAGAUUUCUGCCCUCAGAGAGCUUAUAGUCUAGUAAGGAUCACAGGGCUUAGAGCUAGAAACAUCCUUAGAGAUCAUUUAGUCCAAUCUUCUCUUUUGACAGAUGAGGAAACUGAGGCUCCACAUUCUAGUAAGAGACAGAAUCAAGGGAGAUCAUAAUGGUACAAUGGAAAGAGAGAAAAAGUUUUGGAGGUAAAGUCAAAUCUAGCUUCUGUCACUAAUUAUCUUGUGAUCUUAAGCAAAUCACCCCUCUCUGUGCCUUAAUUUACUCCUCUGUAAAGUGAGAGGGAUUGGAGUAGAUGACCUCUCAGGUCCCCAAUAUAUGUGUGGUCCCAAUAUAUUCUUACUGACUCUCUUCCUCUUGCUCUUCUUUAUUUCUUCCAUUCUCCCUCUCUUCUCUUUUCUUCUCUUUGUUUUCCUCUCCACUCUUCCUCCAUCCCCUUCCCUACUCUAGGUCCCUACUUCCUUCCCACUCAGUGUGGUUUAAUCUUGCUAGCAGCCCUUGAGCCAAAGACCGAAUGACUGGGGCUGUAUGGGAAGAAAGAUCUGUUCUCUCCCUCUGUCCAGAAAGUCUGGAUUUGUACCUUCAUUUGAUUGAAUCAUUAACUAAAAAAACUGGGUUCCCAAAGGAGCCUUGUGGGUAGACAUGAGGGGCCCAAUCUAAGAAGAGAUUUUAGAUGGAUAUUUAUCCAUCUAAAGUGGAUGUCAAGUAAAGUCAAGUGCCAGAGUUCAAAAAAUCAAUUACAUAAGCAAAGAAGGAUGGUAGAGGUAUGGUAUGUUAAAAAAUCUGAGGGGCUUAGUGGUCUACAAGUUUAAAAUGAAUAAAUAAUACAACAGAAUAGUCUCAAUUCAUUAAGAGAAGCAGGAUCCAUAAAAAAGUCUAACUGCCCUGGGUUAGGUCCCACUUGGAGGAUUGUGUUCAGGUCUGGUACAAACAGGAGAAAGGCAACUAGAAUACUGAAGGGAUUGGGGACCAGAUGAUCCCUGAAGUCCCUUCUAAUUUUAAGUCCUAUGAUCAAAAUAAGAGUCAAUGAGUGGAAAGAAUAGGAACCUGGAAAAGAGAAGAUUUGGGAGUAUGUGACUUGUCUCUGAAGGGUUAUUAUUGGAAGAUUUGUUCUUAAAUUUAAGUAAGGAGAUUUUUCUUUGUUCUUUCUCUUUCCUUUUUCUUCCUCCCUCUCAUCUUCCUUUCUUGUCUUCCUUCCUUUCCUUUCUUGUACCCUUCUUUCUUCCUUCAUUUUCUUCUCUUCCUUCCUUCCUUUUCUUCCCCUCCUUCCUUCCUUUCCUUUCCUUCCUUUCUUCCAUCCUCUUUCCUUCCCUCUUUUCCUUUCUUUCUCCUUCCUUCAAUCCCUCCUUUCUUCUUUUUUUCUUACUAACAGAAUAUUCCAAAAGUUGGAAUGGGGAGUGGGGCUCAAUAGAUAAUGAGUUCCCCAUCACUGGAACAAAAGCAAAAAGCGAAAAAGCUAGAGGACUGUGUAUCAGAAAUCCUGCAGAGGCAUCGGUGUGAGUCGAACUAAGUCACAAGAUCUAUUUCAAAUCUGAGUUUUUGAUGUCCGAUGACUCCUUUGGCUGAAUUGAAAAAAAUUACAAGGAAUAGAGAGACUCUUUCUUCCAAGUUGAGACUUGACCACUCCGGUCACCUCGGAAGAGCUGAUGGAGAAGGUGACCUCAAGCCACUGCUAUUCCAAGAAUCUGCCCUUUUUAGCUCCACGAAAAGUCAUCCGGACACUCACAGCUCUGACUGUGUCUAGAGCUUAGCUAAUCGCUUCCCACCAUUUGAAAUAGCUUCUUCUUGGGAAGCAUCCCCUUCUUUCCCAGCACCCAGGCUCAAAGUCUGAAUCAUCUUCCUUUUCUGUUUAGAAUUUGGGGACUGGAGUUGAAAAGAGUCUCAGGGGUCAUCUAGUCCAAUCCCCUUAUUUCACAGGUAAGAAAAAUGAGGCCCAGGAAUGGGAAGGGACUUGUCCAACAGCAGACAGGUAGUGAGUUUUGGAAGAGAGAUCUGAAUCCAGAUCUUCUGACUCCCAAGCUCUUUCCUCACCUCUUGACUCAGUUGCCAAGUCUUGCUGUUUUUUUUUUCUUUUACGAUGUCUCUUAUGCCUAUCCCCACCAUCUUUCUCCCUAAUAUAAUACAAGGCUGGAAAGGUAAGGUGAUGGCAGACUGAGUCAGCACAUCUGAUAGCCAGGGAACCAGGCUCCAACUUAUAUCAAACAGAUUCCCAAACUAGGUCUGCCUUAGGUCCUCACAGCAGCCGUCCCUACUUAGGCUGAUAGGGAAAGAAAGCCAAUGGUUAGGUUCUUAUGGAAUGGGAUGGUCUUAGGUUGGAUCCCGGCCUCCAUCAAGGAGCGAGCAAAUUCAUUCAUUCAUCCAUCCAGUAACUCCUACCAGUUUCUCUGCUUCCACUUUCUCUUUUCUCAUCCAAUCUACACACCCAACCAUACAGAUCUUCCUACUGAAUCCCUUAUUUCCCUAUUCAGUAAUCUCCAGUAGCUCCAUAUUGUGUCUACAACAUCCCAGUUCUUCAGGCCAACAGUCAAGGCCUUUCAUGAAAUGCUCCCAACAUCUCACUCCUGUUCCUUCAUGUGUUUUAUGCUACAGAUAUCUUGGACCAUCCACACAAGGCUCAUGAUGUGUCCCUUCCCAGAAUGCUCUAUUUCCUGCUACAUCUUCAAGGCUCAGCUCAAGUCUCCAUCCACUCUCUCUUCAACCACUCAGGCUUCAGGGACUUUCCCUUCUCUGAAUUCCUGGAGCUUUUAAAGUCCUUUCCAAUCCUCUGGCCUUUUCAUAGACUGCCCUGUGGUAUAAGCAAUCCUUGGGGUCCUUGUCCCGAGUCCCCUACUAGAAAGUAAGCCCCUUGAGGGCAGGGGGGGUCAUGUCUUGUAUGUGUGAGCAGAGGGUAGUUAAAAAAAAAAGACAACAUGGAAGCAAGAGAAACCAACAAUUCCAAUAGACUUGGGAUAGAAAAUGCCAUCCGUAUUCAGAGAGAGAACUAUGGAGACUGAAUGUGAUCAUUUGUUGUUGUUAUUAUUUGUUUGCUUGUUUUUUUUUCUUAUGGAUUUUUCCCUUUUGAGCUGAUUUUUCUUGCACAGCAUGACGAAUAUAGAAAUAUGUUUAGAAGAAUUGCAUGUGUUUAACUUAUAUCAGAUUGUUUGCUAUUUUGGGGAGGGGGAAAGGGAAAGGGAGGGAGAAAAAUUUGGAACAAAAAGUUUUGCAAAAAUGAAUGUUGAAAACUAUCCAUGUAUUGAGGGGAAAAUACUAUUGGGAAAAAAAAUAAAUCCCAAAAUAAACAAAAGAGUUCUGAGUUUGAAUCCUGCCUCUCACACUUACUCAUUGUGUGAUCAAAGUCAAAUCAUUUAGCCAGUUUGAGCCUCAGUUAAGGAAGCCGAGAGGUCACUAAAAAGAAGUCAUCGAUCAAGGAAAAAGUCCCCUCACUGUGAAUCAGAAAAGCAGAACAUUUAGAGCAAUAAGCACUUAUUAAGCACCUACUGUGUGCCAGGCACUAUCCUAAGUGCUGAAGAUACCAAAAAAAAAAAAAAAAAAAAAAAAAGAACUCUCCAUGGCUUAAAGGGAGCUUACAAUUCAGUGCCUUCCCUGUAAUAUUUUCUUCAAUUUAUUCUGAACAUUUCUUAUAUGUAGAUAGAGGUCAUUGCAUAUUGCCUCCCCACUAGAAUGUGAAAUCGUUGAGGACAGGGAUUGUCUUUUGCCUUUCUUUCUAUCCCAUCACUUAGCACAGUGUCUGGCACAUAGUAAGUGCUUAAUAAAUUCUUGUUGAUGUAAUCUUAGAAAUUAUCUAACCCAGUACUUAUUACAGAUGGGGAAACUGCGAUUAGGAGAGGGACUGUGAUUUGUCCAAGGUCACCUAGGGAGUCAGUGUCAGAGUUGAGAUUUGAACCCCAACCCUCAAAUUCUAAAACCAGAUUCUUCUCCAGUGCACAAGAUUGAACCUGAUUUUUGUGCUCAGAGUCUGUAGGUUAUCUAUUUAGCUAUCCAUCCAUAGACUCAUCCAACUAUCUACAUAUCUACCCAUUUAUCAUUCAUCCAUCCAUCUAUCCAUCCGUCAUUCAACUAUCUUAUCUAUUUAUCCAUCUAUUAUCUAUCUACCCAUCUAUCAUUCAGCUAUCUACUUAUCCAUCCAUUUAUCCAUCUAUCUAUCCAUCCAUCCAUCCACCUAUCCAUCUAUCUAUCCAUCCAUAGAUUCACCCAAUUAUCUAUCCAUCCACUUAUCCAUCUAUCUACCCAUCCAUAGAUUCAUCCAACUAUCUAUUCAUCUAUCUACCCAUCUAUAACCUAUCCACCAUCCAUCCAUUUAUCCAUCCAUAGAUGCAUCCAAAUAUCUAUCUGUUCAUCCAUCUGUCUAUCCAUCUCGCUAUCUUUCUUCUAUCUCUCUAUCCAUUCAGCUCUGCAAAGAAUGACGGUGAAGAGAAAGCUCUGUUGUUCACGAUUCCAAGGUGGUCCCGGGAUCAGAUCAAUAAAUUAAAGCCAGGAGGUAGACAUAGUACAGUAGAUAGGGAACUAUCCUCCCAGUCUUCGGGAGACACAGCUUCUAAUCCUGCAUAUGACACGACCUGUCUGUGUAACCUUGGGCAAGUGAUAAUUCGAUCUCUCAGUACUGCCCCUCCACCCCAAUCCCACAGUUCCCUCACCCCUGACAACGCUAUAAAUCGAAGAUUGUAUUGAAGAAAAGGUGUGCUCUGUAUUGUUAGAGGGUGCUUCUGGUACAAAAGGUCAAGAAUAUCAAGGGAACUAAUGAAAACAAAUGCAAAGAAAGGCAGUUUAGCUAUACCAGACUUAAAACUAUAUUCUAAAACAGCAGUCACCAAAACCAGUUGGUACUGGCUAAGAAAUAGAGUGGUGCAUCAGUGGAAUAGUCUAGGUACACAUGACACAAAAGUCACCGACUAUGGUAAUUUGGUGUUUAAUAAACUUAUAGACUCCAGGUUCUGAGACAAGGACCUCACUAUUUCACAAAAAUUACUGGGAAAACUGGCAAAUGGAAUUACAGAAACCAAGCAUCGAUCAACAUCUCACCCUAUACUAAGAUAAGGCAAAAUAGGUUCAUGAUUUAGACACAGAGCGAUAUUAUAAUCAAAUUAGGAAAGCAAGGGGUAGUUUACCUGUCUUAUCUUUUGAGGAUGGAGGAAUUUAUGACUAAACCAGAGAUAGAGAACAUUAUGAAAAGGCAAAAUGGAUAAUUUCAAUUACAUUAAGUUAAUGUAAUUGAUUUGUGCAAAAUUACAAAUAAAACUAAUGUGUGAGCUUCAAACAAGACUAUGUAGAUAAAGUACUUUGACACUUAAAAGCACUAGAGAAACGCCAGUGUAUCAUUAUUUUUCUCUCUCGGAUUUGUUGUCUCCCUCGUCCUCUGCAUCUCUUUUCUCCUUUUCCUCUCCCUCUCUCUACCCUCCCUUACAUACAAUUCUUUCUUCCCCUUUUCUUCUUCCCCUUCCUCUUUUUCUGCCUUUUUCUUCUUCCGCCUUCUCUCCUUCCUUCUAUUCUUCUUCUCCUUCUUUCUCUUCCAUCUCUUCCUCAUCUUCCUCCUCUUCCCCUCCUCUCCCUUACCCAAUAUUUUUCCUUCCCCCUUUCUUCUUCCUCCUCUUUCUUCUCCUUUUUCUUCUUCCUCUCCUUCCCCUUCCCCCUCCCUUGACCACAACUUUCUCCUCCCUCUCUUCCUCUUCUUGUUCUUCCUUUCCCUCCUCUUUUUCCUCUUCCUUUUUCUCCUGCUGCUUCUGCUGCUUCCCGUGUCUCUCUCUUUGUCUUUCUGUCCCUAUCUCGGACUAUCUUUGUCUCUCUCCCCAUCUAUCUGUCUCCUUUUUACUUUGGUCUCUUCCUCUUCCUCUCUUCUCCCUUUGAUCUUUCUUCCUUUCUUCUCUUCCUGUCCCUCAGUCUCUGUCUCUAUGUAUCUGUUUCUUUCUCCUUUAAUAUUUCAAGACUCCGUAACUUGGCUGUUGUAGCUAGUCACAACUUAGAUGGUUUUUAAGAAUAUGGCCAUUUCUCCCUACCCCACCUUCCACAUCCUUCCUCUCCCAACUCAGCUAAACCUGUCUUCUGAAAAGAGAAUCACAGCCCACAGCUUGACUUCAUCAUCCAGCUCAAAAUCACCCAUUUUAUUAUUAUUAUUUUGCUGAGGCAAUUGGGGUUAAGUGACUUUCCCAGGGUCACACAGCUAGGAAGUAUUUUGUCUGAGGAUGGAUUCGAACUCAGGUCCUCCUGACUUCAGGGCCAACAUUCUAUCCACUAAGCCAUCUAGUUGUUGCCCCCCAUCCCCACCCUGAUCUUGGUUAUCUCGGGCUAUCUCGACCCUCUGCUACAUAUUUGUUCAUCAAUAUACCUGUUCUCCAUCUCUCUCCAUCUCUCUUGCUCUCCAUUUUUCCUCCCUCGCCCUGCAGUUCAGAGUCGCUCCGGAGCUCAGAAUUGACCUGGUCUCCAUCCCCUUGCCCUGCCUUCAGGCGAGCCUCCUUUCAUCCCAACCUCACUCAUCCCUGCUACCUUAAAGUACUGUCGGCCCUUUGUCUAUUUUCAAAGGAAAUGCAUUGAAUAUUAUUUUCCCUUUGAGAAUUUUAUGAGGAUCUCCCCCUCCCCCUUCCCCUAACCCCCAGGGUGACCCUGAACUAGACUUGAGAAUUGCCAGGCUAAGUUUUUCCGAACUAAAGGAGAUCGAUACUGUUCUCAGAUAUAUCCAGGGAGCAUGUCAUCUCCCUGGGGAAGCCUUGGGUAAUGACCUUUCACCCCGGGGGUAAAGGGAUUGAGGAAAAGGCCAGGAGAGGAGAAAGGAAUAGCCCUUGUUGCCAAGGGAAGACAGAAAGGAGUAAAUUUUCAUCUGAAGUGAGAGGGAUUCACAGGGAACCCCAGAAUAGGGCGAGAAUACAGUGUACACCCUUUGUUCUCCUUGGGCAUGAAGGAUGAUGGGCAUAGAAUCUUGCUUAUUUUCUCAAAUUCGGACGAUGUGCUGGUUAAUUCGGCCGAAUGAACUGUUUGUCCCCACCUUUUUCCCCUUUGGGGUUUAGCACACUGAAUAAAGUGCCUCUGGGUCUGGAGUCAGAAAGGCUCCUCCUUGCUACAUCCUUUCCAACUCAUUUUACAGAUGAGGAAACUGAGGCAAACAGAAUUAAGUGACUUGUCCAGGGUCUGCCUGAAGCCAAGUUCAAAUCAAAUCAAAAGUCCAGAUUUGAUUUAUUUCCUUUCCCACCCCCUUUUAUCCUAAUUGGUAAUAAGUAAUAUUCAUUGAAUUGAAUUCUAUUCCAUGGGACAGCCAGCCCUUCCAAUUUUUGGACAGGAAUCGUGUCCCCCUGGCUUUCUCUUCUAUAGACUGAGAUCCUCAAUUCUUUUCAGCCGAUCUCUCAUUGUCCUGGUCAGCUAGUCACAGUCCAGUUUAGUGAUAUCCUUCCUAAAACAAGCUGGCUGGAGAUGAAUGCAGUCCACCAGAAGCCAUCCAACCAGAACAGAAGGAGUCCCUACUAAAAUAAAUAUAUAAAUAAAUAAAUGAAAUGAAAUAAAAUUACAUAAAUCCCGAAGUUUUACAUGUUAAAACCCUUUCUUAACAAACCCUAAAAUAACAGUGGUCCACCAGAAGUCAUCCAACCAGAACAGGAGUCGUUACUUAAAUUAAAUAUUUUAUUUAUAAAUAAAAUAAAAUUACAUAAAUCUCAAAGCUUUACAUGUUAAAAAAAAAAACCUUUCUAAACAAACCCUAAAAUAAUAACAGCCCAUCAGAAAUUAUCCAACCAGAACGGGAGUCAUUACUAAAAUACAUAUUUUAUUUAUAAAUAAAAUAAAAUAAAAUUACAUAAAUACAUAAUUUAGAUAUUAAAAACCCUAAAACAACACUAGUUGUGUUCCUUUUCCCUGACAUCUCACACGUUGGUUCAGAUUAGCUGGUUUAUUAGCUGAUCUUGGGCAAAUGAUUUCUCCUCUGGACUGUGAGAACUGAGUGGGGUUCACAACAUAGGAUUCUCACUCUUUUUGUCGUUGUUCGCUUGCAUUUUAUUUUGCUUCUUUCUUUUUUUUUUAAACUGGUUUGAUUGGAUUUUUCUUUGCGGCCUGAUAAUAAUUGUAUAAUUAUACAUAGAUUGGUAUAUUUUUACCACGUUUAAUAUAUAUUGGACUACUUGCCAUCUAGAGGAGGGGGUGGGGAAAGGGGACGAGAACUGGAACACAAGGUCUUGCAAGGGCUAAUGUCGAAGAAAUGGCCACGCGUGUGUUUUGACAAACAAAAAGCUUUAAUAAAACAAUACUAAUUUCUCCUCGGACCCCCGUUUUCCUUGCUAGGGGCGCAGGAGAGACUGUUGACCUUCUAACUACCUGGAAGGAUCUCAGAAGGUGAGCGAAUAGCAGCCCGGCUCCCUCAGAGCCCAGGUGAGCCAGAUCUGUUUUCCCACCAGUCCCUGACAGAGACAGAAGUCCGAGCCUCAGCGAGUGUGUGUAGGGGGAAAGGAGGGAAGGGAGAUAUCUGCCGAGGGGAGAAUGAGCAGAUAGGACGCCCUUUGUAGCUAGCACAGAUGUUUGGUAAAUGCUGAUUAAUUGACGGAGCCAACAAGGCCGGCAAUCAGAGCAGAAAGGGAGAGCGCAAGGUGGCCGUGCUCUGCAUACAACAGGUGCUUAAUAAAUGUGGAUUGCUGGGUGGAUUGAGGAGGGAAUCAGCGAGUUGGCAGGAAACCCUCUGGGGAUAAUUAACGGGUUACUCGAAGGCUCAGUUGAGGAGAGAAUCCGUGGCUAGUACCGGGUUCUCACUAGGUGCUUAAUAAUUGCUGAUUCAUCUUUGAUGGAAGAGCAAUGGGCAGAAAGACGAGACAGAAUUGGGGCCCGGAGGUGAGGACCGGGUACAGCGGGAGAGAUGAGGCUCCAGUGAGGGGGAGGGGGGAAAGGAGGAGGGGAUGGAGGGGUGGCAAGGCCCCGCGUGGCCUGAGAAAGCCGGACUGUCUCGAGCCCUUGUGGCCCGUCGGCCAAGGAAGGCUCCGGUUACGGGCCGGCCUCUGGGCCCCCCCUUUCUGCCCCCCCCGUCUGUCUCCCUCUCCCUCCCUCACAUUCCUCCGGGAGCUGCUCGGGGCUUGAAUGACACCCCAGAUGAGUCUUCGCUAUGAAUUCCCACAGACAGAAUGGGGCCCUUGUUCUCCGGUUCCUCCACUCGGGGAAGAAUGGCCAGCGCCGAGCGAGAGUUAACCCUUCUCCCGGCUCCCCCGGAGCCCUCGCGAGGCCAGGAGGAGCCCGGGGGAGGGGGGAGCUCGUUAGAGACUGGGGUGACGUGCCCCACUCCCCAGAGAAAGGAGCAGGGGCAGCGCAUUGAGGGGGGCUGGGAGGCCCCCGUGGUCUGUCGGGAGUCAGGGCCCCGGACUAGCACCUAGCGCCCCCCAGCCUCUCCCCCCCCCCGUCUCUCUCCGGCCAUUGCGUGUCCCCCGGAUGAGAGGGUGGGGGGGGCAGCGGGGUCCCCUGGCUCAGCCCUCCUCCCUUCCUGCUCUCCCUCCGGAGGGGGUUAAAAGCUCGCAGGCAGGACACCGCCUGCCAGGGCAGGUAGCCGAGGAGAGGCUCCUCUGGCUCCUCCGAGGCCCCCAACAACACAGGAGAAAUUGCUCAAUUUAGAAAAAAAAAUCCCCUUCUUUUCAAUUCUGCGAGCUACCCCACCCCCACCCCCCCAUCUCCUCAGUCUACCUUCCCUAGAGGGAGGCAGACCGCGGAUCUACACAGCCAAGGCUGCAGGACAGAGGGCCAGGGGGAGUGGGAGCCCACCCAUUUCACAGAUGUGGCAACUGAGGCCCAGCAGAAGAGAAAUGACUUUUCCAAGAUCACCCGGUACUGGACUCAGAGCUACCUGGCUCACCAGGAACUCUGGUUUUUUUCCUAAGACUUGUGUGAGCUCCCUUAUAAGGGAACCCUUUCCCCCACCCCCAUCCCCACCCAGAGCCCAGCCAGGCCCAGCCCUGGCUCUCCAGAUAUUCUCCCCAACCUUGACUUCUUCUGCCCUUGAAGCAGGCAGCCUGGGACCCUCCACAGGCUCACCAGAGAGGAGAGGGCUCUGCCCAGGAUGGACUCUGCCCUCCUUACCCCUGACCUUCCACCACCUCCCAGAGACCUGGGGGACAGCCAUGGGUACUGCGGCCAAGCCACAUGACUGGGCCUGGACCUGGCUCAGGGGAACGGCCCCUGCCCUGCCCACUUCCGUCUUUGCCUGGCUCAGUCCCGUGGGCACUUGGGCCCUGUUGGGCAGCGCUGUCCUGUGGCUAGGACACAGGUCCUAUAAUAAGUCUGGGCUAGGAGCAGGGGAAAACUGGGUGCUGACGUUUCCUUAUGAGAGUCAUUUCAGAAACCUUGGGCUGCUUAUUAAAUCUUUAAUAUUCAGCUUUCUCAGUUACCGGAUGGGAAGACUAGAUGUUCACUGUGACCCCUCCGAGCUUUGCCAUCCCCUGUUCUAAGCUCCCUCCCGGCCCUGACAAGCCCUGUUCUAAGCCCCCUCCCGGCCC
ensembl:lncRNA